GACGAACGCUGGCGGCGUGCCUAACACAUGCAAGUCGAGCGGAAAGGCCCCUUCGGGGGUACUCGAGCGGCGAACGGGUGAGUAACACGUGGGUGACCUGCCCUUGGCUCUGGGAUAACCCCGGGAAACCGGGGCUAAUACCGGAUACGACACGCGAUCGCAUGGUCUGCGUGUGGAAAGGAUUUCCGGCCGAGGAUGGACUCGCGGCCUAUCAGCUAGUUGGUGGGGUAACGGCCCACCAAGGCGACGACGGGUAGCCGGCCUGAGAGGGCGACCGGCCACACUGGGACUGAGACACGGCCCAGACUCCUACGGGAGGCAGCAGUGGGGAAUAUUGCGCAAUGGGCGAAAGCCUGACGCAGCAACGCCGCGUGAGGGAUGACGGCCUUCGGGUUGUAAACCUCUUUCAGCUCCGACGAAGCCUUCGGGUGACUGUAGGAGCAGAAGAAGCACCGGCUAACUACGUGCCAGCAGCCGCCGUAAAAC
rnacentral:rRNA from 1 species